GGGUGUAUAGCUCCUGGGGGAGUAGUAGAUUGCAAAUCUAUAGGAGGUUGGUUCAAAUCCAACUACACCCU
rnacentral:tRNA from 1 species